GGUCGAUUGGUCUAGUGGUAUGAUUCUCGCUUAGGGAGUCGGAGCGCGAGUUCCUUCUCAAAACCCUGAGUUUCAAUUUGCGAGAGGUCCCGGAUUCGAUCUCCGGAUCGACCC